UUCAAUCGAUUGCCGUCGAUAUCUCAGAAUGUCGGGACGAGGAGCUUGCAUGGAGAUUACUCUCUAUCGGAGACAUUCUGAAAGACUGCUUCAGCAGUAGGCGGGCCCACACGGCCGCUCUCAACGAACUCUGGAAAUUUGGACUCGUCGAGACGUGCGUGGACACGCUUCGUCAGGAAUUUGAUACUGUACGCGACGGUUGGACCACGGCAGCUAGAAUGACCGACGUUGUGAGCCGCUGCUUUAGAGCUUUACCGCGGGAAGAGACACACAAAGAUAUCGCCAUUUCUCUCAUGCCUGUUGCCGUGGAAAGCAUGUUAGUGGUCGGGAAUACGAUUCAGGAAAUGUUUGUUGAUGGGUUGAAUGGUCGGACGGGCGUGGAGUCGAAGGAGAUGUUGGAGAACGUAAGAAUGGUCACCAACUCUGUGACGUCGCUGUGUGGUGUACAUCCGGGGUUGGUUAUCCGGGUACUGACGUCUCCCAUCCUGCUUCAUAUGAUUAUUACUGAUAAUUGUGAUACUGCCCGCUUGCUGUUGGUUAUGAUUCGUUCGUUGCUGGAGUUAUGUAGAUCAAAUGAAUUGCUUGCGAGUUUGAGCCAAGACGAUGUCAGUAAUCUAGUGGACGAGCUCGUGUUUAAGAUUUCAUCCAGUCAAGAGUCGAUCAUUGCGUGUGCUGCUAUUAAAGUUAUGCUAGCGUUUGCUGAUGUGAUUCCCUCUCUGAGUCAGUUCUAUGUGGCUCAAUACAGCAGUCUCAGACCUUUGAUCAGCAAAUGGAGAAAUCAAGGAUUUGACGAUGACGUUAAGCAGCUGUUAAGACUACUGGAGGAAGAUCGAGAAGAAGAGAUGAGACUGAUGGUUCAAAAUCAAGCGGCUAGUAAAAUACAGAGCACAUGGAGGGCAUAUAAUACGAGACAACAGAUGGAAAGGAUGAAACGGGGGAUACUAAAGUUACAACGGAUUGUGAGGAGAAAGCAGACAGUCGAGAGAGAACGGAGAGAGAAAGAGAAGUUGAGUAGACUAGAAAAGGAACUGAAAGAGGAGAAAUACAGGAAGGAAAUGAGGGCAAGCCUUCACACACAAUUACAGUUACUUGAACACGUUCCUGCUCAGAAGGUUAACAGUUUCUUGAUGGAACAAAAAGAGCGAGCUGCUGUGAUACUACAGAGUCAGUGGCGUGGACUGAUUGCUCGGAGAAAGACGGCACGGCUGAGGAUUAGUAAGAAACGCCACGAAGCGGCAACUUGCAUACAGAGAAACGUGCGACGGUUUGUUAGCCAACGACGAUCAAAGAGAGCCGAUGAGCCACGCUAUCAGUUUGCCUUUUUGUUAGACAAUCUCACUGAUGCUAGACGUUCUGAAUUACAGUCAAGAAUCGAUGCAGAACGCAAGAAAAAACCAUACAGCUACACGUCGAUGGAUGAUUUACACACAGUGCACGAGAACGCUCAACGGCUGAUGGGCGAUUUCUUAGUUCACAGUGAAAAGCACAUGCAGAAGGAUAUACACAGACGAGCGCUAAUCGCACAACUUCAGACCGAUGUCGAUCAGCUCAUGAAUGCACCUAAACUUGAUGCAGUCACAAGGAAAGAUGUGGAUGCGUUUACUUCGGGAUCUGGUCCUGUGGCUAAGAUGGCGCAGAUUGCUCACACGGAGGAGUUGAAGGCGAUUCGUUUACCUUGGUGGCGACGCGUUCCUCUCGAUCAAGAGGUCAAUUUGUUAGAAUUGGGGACAUACUAUGCGACAGACGACAAGUAGAUAUUAACAUUUUUUCAGCACUUUUGUAAGCAAAUGGACAGCAGAAGGCGUGGUUGGAGAUGGUUUGGAGUUUUCAAGCCUUGUGGUUGUAAGUAGCCAUGGCAUGCUGUAAACCCCCACAAACAUCAAUAGAGGUGGCAGGGUCUUUGGGAUUUCUUGUGAUGCACAUCACAUGAUACACAACAGGGUGGGGAUUCAUUCCGCCAAGUGAGAUGUGGACGUUUGCGAUCUAGAUUCGAUCUGGAUUGUUUCUGGUUUAGUGUGGACACAGCUUUAGUGGCUGGUUGUAUUUCACUGGAAGUUGUAGACAAAUUAUUGUAUUGACUCAGUGGGAUUGACACAUCUGGUGCUAUAUACACUGCAAGUGAGUGUUGACUUUUCUGAAUGUAAUCAAUAUGUGUUAGUAUAUAGUAGCCUAGCUAGUUAAAAUUAACAGCAAAACAACAAUGAUAACAAUAACAACAAGCAUGUGGUACUGCAGCAGAUACAUAAUAGAAUAUUGUGAUGAGGAUAGCAGAGAAAAUGUGGAGUUCAAUACAUGUAGCUACUUAACUUGUGUUGUCUGCUACUAUUUGAAAGAGUUCCAGGCAAUGUUGACACAAGUAGCUGCUGAAUGGAAAUGAUAGAAUAUCCAGAGAGGAUAGAAGACGUCAGACAAUUGAACCCAAAUUGAGUAAAAGUCAGAGUAGAGAGGAUUGCAAUACAAUCCAGACAUCUCGUAAGUCUUUGAUAUCCAGAGAGUCAAAUUGCAGAUAAAGAGAACGAGAGCUGCAGUUCCUCUCCUGUCUGCAGGCGUGAGGUUGUGAUCUCUUUCAUUCCGAGCUGGAUUCCCUCCAUCAUCUGCAGGGUUUGGAAAAAUGCAAGACAUCCUGUUAGGAAGCUUUGAGCACUAGAGAGUCUCAACAUGGUGUGGCAGCUUAUUUUGUUAUGACCUGUAGAAGGGAUGUGAAACUUAUUAUUUGUAUAUUUACUGUUGAGGGAAGCGUUAAGUUGAAGACAUUGUGCAAAAUAGAGACCAGAUACAGAGAUGAGGAUAAGAGCUCCUUCCACCAUUGUGUGACUACCUUUCGUGUGAUGAUCUCUGAUUUGUGGUUCUUGUUCUGCUGGUGGAUCACAGGCUGGUGGAUCAUGGGCUGGCGGAUCACGAGUCUUGCUUGCUAAGCCAUCUGAAAUUAGACCGAUAAUUGCUGUAAUGAGAGCUGUAGAGAUUACCACAACUUGGCUAACUUCAUAAAUGACAGUUGGUUGUGUGAGUGAAUUAGUCUUAUUAUCAAUUACAAUAUGUAUGAUCAUAGCAACAAGAGUUAAUGAAAAGAGAAUGGUUGCAAAGACUGUAGCAUAACAGCAAAGGUGACUGCAUCGUCUGUUUGUUUGCUGUCGAUUUGGAUGAAUUAGGGGCCGAUCCUCAUCACCAUCAUCAUUAUUGUCAUCGGUGCCAUUAUCAGCAGCUUGGUCAGCUGACUGGGUCUGUUGAUUUAACCACAAUUUAAGAAUAAGACCGGAUGCACUGAGACAGAAUUCGGCAAUGCAUGGAUAAAGGAAUGGUAUA